rnacentral:tRNA from 1 species
GGCAGUGUAGCUUAGAGGUAGAGCAGGGCCUUCAUACGGCCAAGGUCGCUGGUUCGAUCCCAGCCAUUGCCACCA